AGCAGGAUAGUAUAGUGGUCUGUACGCUCGCCUGAUAAGCGAAAGGUCAUGGUUCGAUUCCAUGUCCCGCUACCA
rnacentral:tRNA from 1 species